rnacentral:rRNA from 1 species
GACGAACGCUGGCGGCGUGCUUAACACAUGCAAGUCGAACGGUAAGGCUCCAGCUUGCUGGGGUACACGAGUGGCGAACGGGUGAGUAACACGUGGGUGACCUGCCCUGCACUUCGGGAUAAGCCUGGGAAACUGGGUCUAAUACCGGAUAGGACCGCACCGUGAGGGUGUGGUGGAAAGUUUUUUCGGUGUGGGAUGGGCCCGCGGCCUAUCAGCUUGUUGGUGGGGUAAUGGCCUACCAAGGCGGCGACGGGUAGCCGGCCUGAGAGGGUGGACGGCCACAUUGGGACUGAGACACGGCCCAGACUCCUACGGGAGGCAGCAGUGGGGAAUAUUGCACAAUGGGCGGAAGCCUGAUGCAGCGACGCCGCGUGGGGGAUGACGGCCUUCGGGUUGUAAACUCCUUUCACCAUCGACGAAGGGUUUCUGACGGUAGAUGGAGAAGAAGCACCGGCUAACUA